ACAUAUCUUCUGAUAUUUGUGUGUAUUUCCUGCAUGAAUUGUUCUCACUCAGCUAACUGUGCCAGUGUACAGUAACACUCUGAGGGAAAUAUUUCUGGCAUCUCUGAUACUGAUGGAAGUUUUCUGCAUGAUGACAGGCACCUUUGAGUUUAGACUUCUGUUUGCAUUUAAUCAAAUCUUUCAAGCUCUAAGAAUCUUUAGGCCAAAAUUAGAGGGGAUCUGAUUUUUCUUCCUUGCCCUUCCAGGUUAAUUUUAAGCCUAGCAUUAAUAGAUUUUCCAAAGUCAUAAAUUGAAGACUUGCUCCCUGUAGAGUGGUGAAGAAAAGAUGCAACAGCUGAAUGUGGUAGUUGGGCUUGGGACAGAUGGCAUGCAAGAGCAAAUGUUCCAAGGUAGUUCAGAAGGGAGGAGACUGGACAAAACUGUUUAGCAAAUAUUGUGUUAGAACUAAAGACUUGCUGAAGUAUCCAUAGGAAUGCCAAAGUAGAGCACACUUUUUUACCAAACUGCAGUUUAUUAAUUGCUUGUGCAGGAGCAAAAUCUGUAAUAAAAUACUAAAGAGGGAGAUGGUAAAGCAGGGCCUUGAAUCUGUUUUUGUUGGUUUCCGUAAAAGGGGCUUGCUUGCUUUUUCCUGGCAUUCUCUCCAAGAAUUUAUAUAGAAAAUAUUUUUUUCCAUAACCGCAGUGAACAGCCUUCAAUUGUCUGGCAGCCGUUUGCAUACUUGAGGUUUCCUUCCCUCUCUGAAGUUUAACUCUGCAGGAGCUUGUGCUGCUGCCGAAUUGGAUCUUUCUUCUGGUCUUUUGUGUCCCUAGCCCAGGUUCUGUGGAAGUUGGACUGUUGAAAGUGGCUGCAGCAUGUCUCACUUGAGUAAAGGGCAAAGAUGAGCCUCAGUAUUGUAGUGCUAAUAAGUAGCAGUGAGAAUAAAAUGGAGUACUCCUGUAGCUCUUUACAUCUUCAAAGUGCUCCACUGAUACUAAUUAAUCUGCCCAAGUAGCCUUGUGACAAAGGUAUGUGUUUGUACUAUAUGUGAUUUAACUCUUCUAUAUUGUUCUGCAAUAAAAAAAACCUGGAUGCUUCUUCAGAUAAAAAUCAGGAAAUCAGUUAACCAACCUCAGCAAUUAAGGCGAACUUCAAAGCUAUCUCACUUCUUUUGGUUAGCUUUAGCAUACUUUUGGGAACCUCAAGUAUUUGUGCAAAGCAGCAUGGUGUCAAGCAUUCAGCGGAGUGGCCCCAAUGUUAUGCAAUAGUUUGUUUCCAUUUAUAUACACCAGUGUGUAUGGCUUUCACCAUUUCUUAACCCAACGCAGAGGAUGUGGUCCCAGUGCCACUGGAACCAAAGUUAAACCUGGGCGCCGUGCUGGUCUUAAUUGAAGAGCCCCAGUUUGUGUGCUGCUGGUGCCCUGCCGUCCUUAAUAUAUUGUAUGUGUACACUGCCACAGCAGAAAACAAACUCAUGCUGUGUGUAGCUGCAGUGCUGGCAUGUCAAGGAAGAACACAUAAGCUCUGUUAUAACUGCAGGAUUUCAAUGCCUUUCUGUGCAGUUAAGUCAUCUGCUCCCAGUACUCCAGUGUCUGCCGUCUUCUGUCUGCAUCUACUGCUAGCUUGAACUUGAGCAAGUCAUCAGUAGAAAGGUGGAUAUUGCUUAGAAGAAAGAUCACCCUGACUGUAUAGUCCUAAUGCUGAGCUCUGAAAGACCUAUUUCCUCUCAGGAAAGGGUUUGAGGUCACUGUGGACAGAUUUCUGAAAAUACAAGCUCAGUGCUGUAUUUUCAGCAGAUCAGAAGACAAAUAGAGGGGUUGGAAUGGACAAGAGGGGUUGCUAUGUCACUGAAUGGAUCCAGUUUACAACCACAUCUUGAGUCUGCUUGUCCCAUUCUCAUCAGUCCUUUUUGAGCCCAAAAGAGCAAUUGUAGAGCUAGAAAAGAUUCAGAGGAUGACGUGGUAUGGAGGUGCAUCUGUAUAAAGAGAGACUGAUUACUUGAAAACAGUUCAACCUGGAAAAGAUACCAAUGGAGGGAACUUUAGUAAGGGCUAUGAAUGGCACACAGAAGAACAACAAGAGCAAUAACGUUGCAUAGAAGUCAGGGUGUACCCUUUGAAACGAUUGAGGUAAAAGGAAGUGCUUUUUCACAGUGUUAAAAGAGAACUGUGCAGCAAAUUGGCACAGGAUGUUCUGGAUGCCAAAACAGAAAUGUGUUCAAAAAGUGAUUAGACAGAUUAAUGGUAGAGAGGGCCAGCAAGGACUAUUAAACACACUACCCCAGAAUCAGCUGCUGGUUUGCAAGAGAUAAAAGAGAGAAAUAUCAGUCUAACCUAACCACAAGGGUGCUUGUUACACUUUCCCUAGCAAUUUUCAGGUAGGUGACUUGUGGCUCUGGUUUAUUAAGGCUACUUAUGUAUGUUAUGCCAAACACAGUCUAGCAUACAAUUUUUGUAGUGUUGUGCCAAGAUAUGUGCUACUGCAAGUAAAACAUGACAUGUGCUGCCAAAGCAAUCACAUUCUGAAAACAGUGCAGCACACUUCACACUGUACAAAAUCUUUUUCCUUUAAGAGGGGAAGACCUGCCCACCUGCCUUUGUGUGUGUUAUCCCUUCUCAGGAGUGGAGCCUUCCUCUCUGAAAAUUUCCAGUGUGUAAGUAAGCACUUCAGCAAACCAGAGGAAAACCUGACCUCUCUCUGUUGAUUGCAACCGGAUGUUUCAUUUUCUCAAAAUUACAAUUUCAACUUAAGAAUUAAUCCAGAUGUUUUUAUUCCUUGCACCAAUAAGAAAAUGCAUCCGUGGCACUAGAAUCUAAAAACAGACAAUAUUUAUCAAGAAACAAAACUCAUUCAUACUCAGGUUCAGUAGAAGUUUCAUUAAAAUAUUGUCCUUGUUCUGUUCUGCAGAAGGGAAAGUGGUUUUACACAGAGAUUACGUGAGCCCUGCACUGAUCUAACAGUCCUGCGCUUCUUUUUGAAUGUUUGACUGUUGUCACAGAACUGAAGUUGAUGUCUCCUCCCCAUCUCCCACGUGGAAGAGAAGCUGCAGUCCUCAUGGGCUCCCUGCAUGGCUCAAGAAUUUCCCAGAUGAUUCUCCAGAGUGGUGAGGAUGUUGAAACUGAGGAAGUUGUGUUGAGGAUUAACACUGUUUUACCAGGAUCUGUCUCUAAAUUGUAAUGUGUAAAAUAACAAGCAUGUAUUUUAGAAUUGCUGCUGUGAUACAGUCGUGUGCUAGAUUUUGGUUAUUGCGUGUCCCUGAGGAGAGAAAGAGAAUGUCAGCUAAAAUAUUAAAUGCUUUGUUAGUGAUUGCCAGCAUGCUUGAAAAGCUGAGGCUCAUGGAAGGAGUGGGUUUUCAGCAACAGGGCCACACUAUGCAAGACUACCCUGCUCUGGUGGUUACACUAGCUGUUACAAAUCCUGCUCUAAUGAGGGUAACAUGCCUAGGGGAUAUAAAUAGAAUAAACCUGCUGUGCUCACAUAUUAGAAGCCUGUAACUCAGUGGCUCUGUCAUAUACAUGAAUUAUGUAAGUGCCAUUUUGGAAAUCAUCGCCUCACUUCUGACUGCUCCAUGACAGGAAACAAACUCCAUGGGUGUGUAGGAGUCCUGCAGGCCUCCUGCUCCUGUCUGCUUCAUGGACUGGGCUCUUGCCAUAAGACUUUGCAUCUCUCUUUGUACCUCCUGCUUUGUUUUUAUUGCAAGGGAGCAAGAUAGAAAAGAGCCUGUGCAGCUCUAUAAAUGAGGGCAAAUAAUAAGCAGAUACAGAAGCUCUGUGAUUUGGUGGGAGUAUCUGUAACAAAGCUGGGGCUAUGAAACUGGCAUUUCUAGUGUCUGCUUUGAACCAAUUUUAUUCCACUGUGGAACAAAGAAUUCAUCUUUUUCUAUGGAAAAGAUGGCAGUAUUAGGAAAAUCCAUGCUGUACAUUUACUGAUAGCGUUAUUCUAUCAUAGCAUUAACUGCUGUAUUAUAGCAGCAGAGGUACUUCUGAAGUUUUGAAACAGCAAAGUGUGACAGCCUCUAUCUGUCACCCUUCACUAAUCAACACUGUAGCUCUUUACCAUCUGGGUUUUAGAGAAUCUCUCAUAAUUUAGGCUCCAUCCUUGCAAACAGAUGGCCACAUUGUGUGAUGUCCCUGCUGAAGUGCCUGCUGGGAUCUAUACAGACCUGUUGGGACAGAUGCAUGGGUUUGCUCAGCCUGCUGGCAUGCACGUCUUGCACUUAUGUGGAAGGUGGUUCUAAGAGAAAGAACAAACAUGGAGGCUGCCUGAUACCCUGUAGGCCAAGCCCUUCCCCAGCCACAGCACCAGUGCCGGUGCUGGCUCAUCUCUGUCUGGGGUUGGGGGUGAACAAGCAAAGGCCCGCAGGCUAAGAAAGCCAUGCUCUGUGAAAUCUAGCUGGGCUGCUUGGUUUCUAGAGGCUGGUCAGUAAACAAGAUUGCUUGAGCCCAUUUUGAGGUGCUAGAAACUGGUUUAUCUGAAACCUGCUGCUGAGUAAACAUUCUUCAAGUCAGAAACUGAUGAAAACAAAACAGUGACUUGGGUGCAGUGAGCUGGGCGCUGGUUGUUCUGGUGUGUGUUUCUGUGUUGCCAGCUUGCACUGCAGUAUCCAGGCCAUUCAGGUGGUCUGGACAGUCGCUGGGUGCUGCUGUCAGUGGUGCUCAGGCAGCUGGGGCAGCACUGGAGGCAGCGUGUCACACGUGGCCUGUCACUGCUGGGGCAGGCAGUAAGCAGGCUCUGGCAGCUCGCGCUCACCCCAGCUGAUCUCAGCCAGGCUGCAGCUCAGCCGUGUGCCUGAAGACGGGCUGUGGGGAUGUGCCAUGAAGAUGGUCCCUCUGGCUUUCAUGGGAGAAGGAACAGAUCUGUUGAGAGGCCGUGGUGCCACCCUUACUUUCCGUCUGGUAUCUCUGGAGGAGCCUUCAUGUAUGAAACCACUAAGGCAUCUGCUUUUACCUUAUAUCAAUGCAUCUAUGAUAAAAGCCACGUGUGACCUUUUCUUCUUUUUUAGAGGAAGAGGCCCAUCUGGCCUUGAGUUAAUGCUUUUCCUUUCUCAAAUCCUGUUUUUCUAAGCGUCUCACCAAAAAACUCAGAUUGUUUUUAGGACAAAUAUCUAGAGACCAACUCUGCUCUGAUGAAAUAGGAACCAAAACUUCCCUCAGUGCCCAGCGGCCACACACAGCUGGCACCAGCAGCACUGUGCCCAUUGCCCAGCCCUGGGCUGCACAGAAGUGCUGUGAGAGCUCUGGCUCUGACUGAUAGAACAGCGACAGGGAAAUUGUGUAACAUGCCAUAGGCUGGGAGAGUCUGAGAGGUUAACAGAGAAUCUGCUUAUGGUUUGUUGUCACUGCCAGGUCUUGCUGGAAAGGAAGCCCAGCACCACCUUCAAAGGGAGCACCAAAGGUGCUACUGAGUGUUUGGUACCGUUUCCCUGCAUGCGUCUCCUUCAGCUGCUGUCUCAAGAACGCAGCAUCGAGUGCUGCUCUGAGGUUUUAUGAGCAAGUGCAGAGGCAGGAAAGGCUCUUUCUCAUAUAUGCUGCACCAUGAUUUCUGUGUGUGAUGUACGGUGUAGAGCAGUCCUGGCUGUUUGCUGCACCCCUGGUGCACAGCAUUACUGGGAGAGCCCCUCCAGCAUUCCCAUCUCGGGUGGCUGGACAAGAGUUUCUUGGAGUUACUUUCUGAUACUGUGUCCGCUGUGUAAAUAACAGUAAGCAUAGAGUGGUGUCCUCUCUGCUAUCACCUUUCUUAAAAAUCCAAGGCUUGGAGCAAAAACAGCCAGAAGUAGGAGCCUCUGUUUUUAGUUUGAGACAUGUCUCUUUAAAGCUCUGCUGUGGUUGGGUCCAUCUGUGCUUGUUAUUCCUUUGCUAACCAAAAAUCCCAAGCUGAGGAUAAACUGCUUUGCAGUUGUAGUGAGAUAGAAGAGGCCCUGGGCUGUGGCAGAGCCAGAACUUCUGCUUGGGAUAAAAACUAUUUGAGUAACUUGGAACUGUAGAGCUGGCUCACUUCACUGUGCUGCCUUCAGAUGGCUGGACAUUGUGCUGAGUCAGCAGUGUGCUCCACAGCUUGUGGUGUUCCUUGGCUGUGCCUCAGGCAGGAACAUGCCUUUCCACUGAAGCCCUUCCAUCCUUUCUUUUCAGUUUACUCACAGAUCACAUUUCCCUGCUAACUUUUAUUCUGCUUUUGUGACUGGCUGCUGUGGCAGUGUCUCUUCUUCCUUCCCAGGAAUUGUGGAGGGCUAAUAUGGAUUUCGUCACAGCAAUGCCUUUAUCUCUGAUUGCCUGUCACUGAUGGAGAAACCCCAGCAGCUUCAGUAGGUCUGGUAACAUUCCAGUUUUGUUUCCCUUGUUCCAUGCACACACGUUCUUCUUGCUCCUAACAGCUAUGGGGACUGUCCUCUGACUCAUGUGCCCAGCUGCAAAGGCAGGGAUUUUGCUGAGUGCCAAAAAGCUCUUGUGUUUCUCCUACAGUGACUGGGUUCCAGGUUCUGCUCAAAGGAGCAGAAAGACCCAAUUUCAGCCAGUUGGAUUUCCUGAACCAGCCACCCCUGCUGGAAUGGCCACACAGUGCUGCCGUGUUUGGGUCUCAACACCUUCAGGCUGGAACCUGCAAGGAAACCUUUCUGGCAACUAAUCCCCACACAUCAUGUUUGGGAGUCCUUUAGGGAACAGCUGUGACCCCAGAAACUCCCCUGCCUGCAUGUGUUUUCUCCAAGUGAGCAUUCAGACUGCUGCUCUUUCUGCUGUUUUUUCAAAUUUUAACAAGUCCUUGGCAACAGAAGUACUUAGCAAAAAAAAAAAAAAAAA